rnacentral:piRNA from 1 species
UAAACACCUCGUUAUUUGUUC